rnacentral:snoRNA from 1 species
CCGGGCAUGUGUGAUGACAGAACUUUUUUCCCCAUCAGAUCGACCAUGUUGAUCUCAACUCUUCUAAGCCAGUUUGUCUGACAUGCCUGC